rnacentral:rRNA from 1 species
UACGUAGGGGGCGAGCGUUGUCCGAAUUUACUGGGCGUAAAGAGCGCGUAGGCGGGUCUUUAAGUGAGGGGUGAAAGGUUAGGGCUCAACCCUAACACUGCCUUUCAUACUGGGGGUCUUGAGUGCCGGAGAGGAUAGCGGAACACCCGGUGUAGAGGUGAAAUUCGUAGAUAUUCGGAAGAACACCAGUGGCGAAGGCGGCUCACUGGACUGGUAUUGACGCUGAGGUACGAAAGCGUGGGGAGCAAACAGG